GGUUAAGCGACUAAGCGUACACGGUGGAUGCCCUGGCAGUCAGAGGCGAUGAAGGACGUGCUAAUCUGCGAUAAGCGCCGGUAAGGUGAUAUGAACCGUUAUAACCGGCGAUUUCCGAAUGGGGAAACCCAGUGUGAUUCGUCACACUAUCAUUAACUGAAUCCAUAGGUUAAUGAGGCGAACCGGGGGAACUGAAACAUCUAAGUACCCCGAGGAAAAGAAAUCAACCGAGAUUCCCCCAGUAGCGGCGAGCGAACGGGGAGGAGCCCAGAGCCUGAAUCAGCAUGUGUGUUAGUGGAAGCGUCUGGAAAGGCGCGCGAUACAGGGUGACAGCCCCGUACACAAAAGCGCAUGUGCUGUGAGCUCGAUGAGUAGGGCGGGACACGUGGUAUCCUGUCUGAAUAUGGGGGGACCAUCCUCCAAGGCUAAAUACUCCUGACUGACCGAUAGUGAACCAGUACCGUGAGGGAAAGGCGAAAAGAACCCCGGCGAGGGGAGUGAAAAAGAACCUGAAACCGUGUACGUACAAGCAGUGGGAGCACCCUUCGGGGUGUGACUGCGUACCUUUUGUAUAAUGGGUCAGCGACUUAUAUUCUGUAGCAAGGUUAACCGUAUAGGGGAGCCGGAGGGAAACCGAGUCUUAAUUGGGCGUUAAGUUGCAGGGUAUAGACCCGAAACCCGGUGAUCUAGCCAUGGGCAGGUUGAAGGUUGGGUAACACUAACUGGAGGACCGAACCGACUAAUGUUGAAAAAUUAGCGGAUGACCUGUGGCUGGGGGUGAAAGGCCAAUCAAACCGGGAGAUAGCUGGUUCUCCCCGAAAGCUAUUUAGGUAGCGCCUCGUGAAUUCAUCUCCGGGGGUAGAGCACUGUUUCGGCUAGGGGGCCAUCCCGGCUUACCAACCCGAUGCAAACUGCGAAUACCGGAGAAUGUUAUCACGGGAGACACACGGCGGGUGCUAACGUCCGUCGUGAAGAGGGAAACAACCCAGACCGCCAGCUAAGGUCCCAAAGUCAUGGUUAAGUGGGAAACGAUGUGGGAAGGCCCAGACAGCCAGGAUGUUGGCUUAGAAGCAGCCAUCAUUUAAAGAAAGCGUAAUAGCUCACUGGUCGAGUCGGCCUGCGCGGAAGAUGUAACGGGGCUAAACCAUGCACCGAAGCUGCGGCAGCGAACGUAUCACCCAAGACAACUUUACGGAGUUGACGAUUGACGGA
rnacentral:rRNA from 1 species